rnacentral:tRNA from 1 species
GGAUGUAGCUCAGUGGUAGAGCGCUUGCCUAGGAAGCGCAAGGCCCUGGGUUCGGUCCCCAGCUCCG